ACGAACGCUGGCGGCGUGCCUAAUACAUGCCCGUAGAACGCUGAAGGAGGAGCUUGCUUCUCUGGAUGAGUUGCGAACGGGUGAGUAACGCGUAGGUAACCUGCCUGGUAGCGGGGGAUAACUAUUGGAAACGAUAGCUAAUACCGCAUAACAGUAGAUGUUGCAUGACAUUUGCUUAAAAGGUGCAAUUGCAUCACUACCAGAUGGACCUGCGUUGUAUUAGCUAGUUGGUGGGGUAACGGCUCACCAAGGCGACGAUACAUAGCCGACCUGAGAGGGUGAUCGGCCACACUGGGACUGAGACACGGCCCAGACUCCUACGGGAGGCAGCAGUAGGGAAUCUUCGGCAAUGGACGGAAGUCUGACCGAGCAACGCCGCGUGAGUGAAGAAGGUUUUCGGAUCGUAAAGCUCUGUUGUAAGAGAAGAACGAGUGUGAGAGUGGAAAGUUCACACUGUGACGGUAUCUUACCAGAAAGGGACGGCUAACUACGUGCCAGCAGCCGCGGUAAUACGUAGGUCCCGAGCGUUGUCCGGAUUUAUUGGGCGUAAAGCGAGCGCAGGCGGUUAGAUAAGUCUGAAGUUAAAGGCUGUGGCUUAACCAUAGUACGCUUUGGAAACUGUUUAACUUGAGUGCAAGAGGGGAGAGUGGAAUUCCAUGUGUAGCGGUGAAAUGCGUAGAUAUAUGGAGGA
rnacentral:rRNA from 1 species